ensembl:lncRNA
GAGGGAGGAGCUGCCGCGCGCCCGCCACCGCCGCUCGGCUCCACACCGCCAGCGCAGCCCCGCCACGAGACUCUGACAGCCGCGCGGCCCGCGCUGCUCGGGCGCACAGGGACUGACGGACGGCGGCGGUGGCGAGGGAGGACUGAGGACCGCUGCCCCGCGCCUAGUCCGGGAGGCGUGCAGGUCCAGCGGCGGAUAGAGGUCUCCUCUGAAGCAGCUGGAGCUCAGCGGGCCUCAUCACCCCUGAGGAGCAGGCCAGCCAAGAGAGCAGAAAGGGAUGGCGGGAAGCCCACCAGGGCCCGAGGAGUGACCCUCAGCUACAGCUCCUGGGACCUGGAGGCUCCUAGUCGGGGGACUGCACCAUUGGGGAGACUCAAGAAGAAUUGAUAUGUCAGUCCCUGGUGACAUGUACACGGUGUAAUGACAGGUAAUGAACCUGAUGUUCAUCAAUCCUUUCUGAAGGAUAUGGCAGGGAGGAGAAUAUAUCAGCCUGCAAUAGACAUUAAAUGUCAACCCGAGAGAAGAUAACUAUGCAAACAAAGCAGAGUGAGGCCUGAUAAGAUGAUAGAUGCAGGCUUUAUAGUUAUUAGUUUCUGCCCCAAGCGCUUGUGGGAGCUAGGCACUGGAAAAUUUAGCUUCGGGUAAGUUCACUCACUAUACCUGAUGGGAAGACCUGAUGCCAUUAAGGAUGUAGCAUGUCUUGUUUUAAGACCUCAGAGUAACAAAUUACGAAGUCAUUAUUUCCCAUCAGCAUCCUUGGGAAGCAGAGCAUGGAUGCUGGUGGGAAACAGAGACACCAAGGGGUGCAGGAGCGCUUUCAUGCACCCUUGAUACCCAAGGAAUGGAUCUGGAGACCCCAUUGACUGAGAAGCCUUCUGGGUUGGGUCAGAUUUGAAUGACAGUUGAGAUAAAAGGUUGAUAUUUCUUGUAAAAAAAGGAAAUCGGGAUGUUGUGGCUUCCUUCAUCCCUCUAAGGAUGCCGAGGCAAGUAGCAGAUGACCAAGGCUAGCUGGGGGGAGUCAUGAGUAGGGGUUUGGAGAUCAUGAGCAGGGGGCAGGAAGUAGUGCAGGUUUGGCAGACACCCUGGGUCUAGCAGCUGAUCCAAGAAGGUCACCCAAGGCAGAAAGCUUUGAGAAGGUCCCCAGAGCCUAGAAGGCAGGGCCCUUAGGCUGGAAGGACCUGGGCCCAGUGGGACUGGGGACACGGCAAAGAUGAGCUCUGAUCCAGGGGUAGGCCUAUUCCCAUUGGCCUUCUGGUUUUUACUGUGUGUCAUACUGGGUACCAUUCUGGCAAUUUCCACCAUAGGGAAAACGGCAGACUAGGGCAGGAGCAAAAAUAGCUUGAGGCCUUGGGAAACUGACCAGGGCAGGGGGAGAGGGCCAGUGACCUGGGGCAGGAGGCCCACGGGGUGUGGCAAAUUCCAUUCCAGUGCAGGCCAGUGUCAGGGUCCACGGGGCCAAGCCAAGGGGUGGGGAGGAGCAGAAUAUUAGGACUUCUGGGUGGCCUUGUUCUAAAUCAGGCGGAAAGAAUAAGAUGAAGAAGGAAUCCAGAAAGCUAAACCCAGCUCUAGGAAAAGAAUCAGCUACAGGCACCAGGCGGGCCCAGGACUUGGCUUCCGUCUGAAUGAACAAAUGGAAGGGGAAUAAAGCUCUGGGGACCCCUGAAAGGAUAGUCUGG